AAAGGGAAAAAGAUACUCCUAUAUUUAAAAGAUGUGGAAAGAGUUACAUCCAAAAGGUGUGUGAAAACUACCACCACAUGUAGGAAAGAGCUACCACACUGGUUGUCCGGCAAGUGUAUGAAGCUACCACAUGGAGAUUAAUUGAAAAGCCGAAAAGGUUGAAAUUUUUUUUUUGAAUAUUUUAGAAUUUUCGGAGUUAUAAGGUGUUAGUUUGAAAACGAUGCUCAAAGAGUCACCCCC
rnacentral:lncRNA from 1 species